rnacentral:ncRNA from 1 species
UCGCCUCGGGAAACAUGGGUAUUGAAAAUCUUAAAAACCCGUAGGUUCCCAAAGUCAAGAGGGAAACAACCUAGAUCGUACGCUAAGGUCCCUAAGCAAUCACUUAGUAGAAAAGGAAGUGAUCGAGCGAUGAGACCCAAGAGGUGGGCUUGGAAGCAGCCAUCCUUUGAAGAAAGCGUAAUAGCUUACUGGUCUAGCUCCAUGGCACUGUAAAUGUCUCAGGGCUCAAGUGAUUCAUCGAAGCAACGAGAGCUUGAAAGCAGCUUUUUCAAGUGUCAGUAGCAGGACGUUUUGUCAAUCGGGGAAGGUUUUUGGUGACGAGACCUGGAGAUACCAGAAGUG